GAAUACUAUGCAGUGCUUUUGAAUGAAGCUCGCCCAUCCCGCCUCCCCUUGCUCCGUCCUUCCCAUCAGUAUUAUCAAUGAAAUCUCAUCCACUCCUCUUUCCACAUCUGUGUCUCUUACAGAUCGUCACUGAUGUGGUUUACAGUCAAUGAUGGAGAGGAGGAGAAAUGAAAGAAUUGAAGACUGACAUGAGGAGAAGCGUUCCUACGCUCCUAUCUGGACAUUUUUGAGGAUAAAUGACCGCUAGUACUACUAUCCACGCAUUCCUACGAUGUUGGUCGUCUCAUCUGAAGCAUCUAGUCUCCCCACGUUGGGUGCCAGUUCCCAGCUUGAGGACUCAGUCCUGACUCUGCAUUUGUUAUGAACAUGACUCGAUAUCAAAUAUUUCUCCUUUGUCGAAAUUUUACUUGAAAUGAAGUUUAUUUGUUUAACGUGGUGGAAACCAUUUUUCCUUCAGAUCCAUGUGUCAAAAAGGUCUAUAUCAGUUUCCCCAUAAAGAAGUGCUUUAUACUCUACCUGACUGGUCUGGAGUGUAAACAGGUUUGUCUGUAUGGAUGAAGAGAAAUCCAUUGUCAUAGAGACCCCAUGCUUCAGGACACUCUCUAGACAUCUCCAUGAAAGUUUGAAUAAAAGGCCCACAAAACUGAUAAUGUGAGUCCCUCUGGCAGAGGCCAGGAAAGCUGAGUGACAUGAAUAGUGUAGCAUUAAGCCCACUGUAAAGCAGAGAAAGUUGGAGAGAGUGACAGCGGAAGAACAGAACCACACCGAGAGAAGUCCUAACAGGUAGCGUGCUUCUGAGCAGUCUUCAGCAGCAAUAUCCAGAAAAGCCACUGAACUGGAAUGCAUUUCCUCCGAGCUAAGUUUCUAAUGCCUGACGUAAGAUGUGAUGGUCUCCCUUUAAGGCAAUAUACGAAUAUGAAAAGACUUCUUUUUGCAAUGUGCUUUUCUGGCAAGAAUAACUUCUAGAGUAUAGAUAACUUGGGAGUUGUGCCUUCUUAGUAUAUCUUCAGCCAGUUUCUUUGUAACAGCUGGAUCAUGCUUCCUGUGAAUCACCAACAUUGACCUCUGACCCCCAUCUUUCUUCCAUAUUGGCCCAUCUGCCAUUAGGGAAAGACUGAAAGCUCAGAAACAUAUUAGUAAUGAAGAAAUAAAGGACAAGAGAGAAUUUAUGUCAGGUGGACUGUGUUCUAAGUAGGUUGUAAAAAACAUUACAAGGUAUCACUUAUCUUUAUAAUUAUAUUUAUAUUUGUGCUGAAAAUAUAACUCUUUUACCAGUUAUUUUCAUUUCUCUUGGUAAAUAAAUGCAUG